UUCGACAGUUCAAGGAUGAAGCCGUCGCCUGGAACAUGAGAAUCGAAAUAGUAGAGCUAUGGAAGGAAGGAAGGAGAUGGAAAAGGGUUUAAGAAAUCAGGGAACGAGGGCGGGUGCUAUCGAAGUUUCCAGCUAUCGGAUAGAGGAAUCCAAACCACUACGUUCUUCCGGAAAAUAUGUGAGUUCUGCAGUUUGAUUUGAUUUUCCAACGAAUGAGAACAACAGGUGGUAUCGAGGUAAUCAAUUAAUGAACAGUUGGGUAGCAGCACUCCAUUACAAAUGGCAGUGGUUAUGAGAUAGUUCCACUGCUGCGUUCUCUUUCUAGGGCAACCUCCGAAUUGCUAAUAUCAAUACCGCCAAGCUUCCGCCGAAGAUAUUGUGUGACAAGCGCAUGAGGGUAUGUGGGUUGUGGCUUGUGAAGCUUCUCCUUUCUAGGGGCUACGGAGCCCAUGGAACCGUUGGAGAGCCUGAAAAUGGGUGCAAUGACUACUGGAUGGGAUUGUUGGGGGCUUUUUUAUUUUUGAGGCUGAUUCGUAAGAACCCGGUUUGCACCAUGGGAGGCGUUUGCAGUCUUAAGGAGAGUGACCAAUGGCACGACACAACCCCUUUGAUUUGUUAAGUUUCUUCAUGCUUUGUCAGGAUAUGCAAACAAUGAUCACCUGAAGAAACUGACAAUGGAGAAGCUUCAUCUCUUCAAGAUAAACUUGCUGGACUACAAUUCUCUCUGCUCUGUCAUUGCAGUAUGUGAUGGAAUAUUUCAUGUUGCAAGCUCAGCUUCAUCAGGAACAAUACUAAAUCCUGAGGAAACAGCCCUACACGGAUCGGGGGUAAGGCUGCGUACAUUAUGGGAGUCUCAUGCAUUGGGUACACCCUUUUAUGUACAUUAGUUGGUUCUUGGAUGUUUCAGUAUGUGUGGUGGGGCUCAUAUCAAAUAUUUUGAGUUUCCAUUUUAUUGGAGUUGUAGUGGAUCUUUUCUAGAAGAAUCCCAUUAGAGUGGCAGCCAAGUUGGCCUCUACACAAAAAAGGUUUCUAUUCUUGUAUCCUGUCCAUUGGUUAUUAUAAAUAAAGAGCUAGGGGCAGCUAACCCAUGAUUUGAUGUUUCGAGAAAAAGGACUUUGUGAGUGUGCACUGUGGUGAUUCAAUAGCAGCCAAAGUGGUGAAGCCCAACUGCAGGCUUGGAUGGUGACAUUCCAGUAGCCUUCUUUCUCCAUCUUCUUCUUCUUCUUCUUAAUUCACUGUUUUGCCGACAUUCCAGUAGCCUUCUUUAUCCAUCGUGGCCUCUUAUUAUGUGAUCUCUGUUCCAUUAAUCCCUUAUUAUUGCUCUUCAAGUUCUUGUUUUCUUCUAUUAUUUUUAUGCACUGUUUCAGAUCUGAGAUAGGAGUGUUUUCAAAGCAUACAUGUCUGAACUUCAUUCCCUGUUUUCUGAGAGACUAUCCAUUAGAUUAGGUUGAAUUUUGACUAUGUUAUUCCCCUUCCUAAUUACUCCAAUUGACCCUAACUUGAUGUCCAGCGGACUGCUAGAUUAUGAGAUAUGCAAGUUCUCUUUACUUUCUAUUUUCUACCCAUGGGUUUGUUUUAAUCCAGCUAUUAGUUCCCUUUUAUAUUUUAACUACUUACGCAUCCCAUUAGGACCCCAUAGUAAUGUUAGUUUCAGCCCCAUCGGAUUUGAAUUUUUCAAAAUUUAUACAUAUUAAGUUUCUGUCCUAUUUCUCAGUUUGGAGGUUCACCUAGAUUCGGGUUUCUUUAGGUUGCUAAUGUUUGUUUGCUUCUUCAAUGCGUAGAUUUCCAGAAAAUGCUGAGCCGUCAAUGUGUAAAUUUUGGAAAAUGCUGAGCCAUCUCACUAUCAUAAACACAUCUCCAAUGGAGUUCAUGGUGUUUUCUAUAAAAAUUCUGAAAUUUUUUCUUGGAUAGGUAAGGGAGGGUUUAUAGAUAACAGCGAGGGGGCUCGAAUUCAAGACCUGGUGAGCAUGGGUUUUUGCACACCACAGCUCAGCACAGUUGUUAAUCAAUAUAUAAAUUCUUAAAUUACUCUGUUGCAGGUUGAACAACCUUCUGUGCCUGAUAAAUUUUGGUCUGAGAAGGAACACUGCAAGGAGAUGAUCUAGUGCAUUUCCGUGGCGGCAGGAAGCAACAGAAUGUCCUACCAAGAUGGAAGCUUCGAGUUACAAGUCACUAGAAAAGAACCUCAGUUAGGGAUGCUAUAUCCUGAAAGAUGUACCAAAGCCAGAUUUAUGUUUUCUAGUUCUGAGAACACAUGGCAUAUUGGAUUGAGCUUUUCUUCACCCAUGGUGAAAAAUGAAUCUCUUAAUCCACCGGUUUUGAUGGUUAGAUGGAACUCUUGUAACAAUGUUAAUAUUUUAGACUUUGUAAAAGUAAAGGUAGAGGAACUAGUGAUAACUAAUGGUUGGUUACUAUUCACCUACGGUGAAUAAAA